rnacentral:rRNA from 1 species
UACAGAGGGGGCGAGCGUUGUUCGGAAUUACUGGGCGUAAAGGGCGCGUAGGCGGCCUUCUAGGUCGAACGUGAAAUCCCCGGGCUCAACCCGGGAACUGCGUCCGAUACUGGGAGGCUUGAAUCCGGGAGAGGGAUGUGGAAUUCCAGGUGUAGCGGUGAAAUGCGUAGAUAUCUGGAGGAACACCGGUGGCGAAGGCAGCCUCCUGGGCCAGCACUGACGCUCAUGCACGAAAGCGUGGGGAGCAAACAGG